rnacentral:lncRNA from 1 species
AUGUGCAUCGCUGUGGAAACACUGAGCAGUUCUGUGGUCUUUUCUGCACUCUGGUUGAAUUAUGAUCUCUCUUUGCCUCAAUGCCCCCAUCUGGAAACGAGGGACAGUGGUUCUUCUCCAUAUCUCAGGACGGCAGCUGCAAGGGGCAGCAGUUUUAUUGCUCUGUCGUCCUCUUCCAGAAGGAACAGCUGUCAUUAUUCACACUGCAGGAGCACUCAUGCACUCCUGUCAACAGUGAGGCCACAAGAUGGAAGGCACCACCCGGACUCAGCCAAGGAGACGCUUCUGCGAGGAGACCUUUCAAGGACAGAACAUCCGUGCUCCUCCAGGGCUCCCAGGAAGCAGCGAGGUGUCAGCAGGGCAGAGGACGCCCGCUGGGGAAGGGGACUCGCCAAACGGGGGAAACGCAGACCCGGCGGGGCGGGGGCGCCACCCGCGACCGCUCGCCAGCGGCUCGGCUGCUCGCUGCGGCCGGGCUGAGCCCUGCCA